rnacentral:rRNA from 1 species
UACGUAGGGCAGCAAGCGUUGUUCGGAAUUACUGGGCGUAAAGAGCGCGCAGGCGGUCGUUCAAGUCGCGUGUGAAAGCCCCGGCUCAACUGGGGAGGGUCACGCGAUACUGAUCGACUCGAAGGCAGGAGAGGGAAGUGGAAUUCCCGGUGUAGUGGUGAAAUGCGUAGAUAUCGGAGGAACACCAGUGGCGAAGGCGACUUCCUGGCCUGUUCUUGACGCUGAGGCGCGAAAGCUGAGGGGAGCAAACGGGG